UACGUAGGGUGCAGGCGUUAAUCGGAAUUACUGGGCGUAAAGCGUGCGCAGGCGGUUUGCUAAGACAGGUGUGAAAUCCCCGGGCUUAACCUGGGAACUGCGCUUGUAACUGGCAAGCUGGAGUGUGGCAGAGGGGGGUGGAAUUCCACGUGUAGCAGUGAAAUGCGUAGAGAUGUGGAGGAAUACCGAUGGCGAAGGCAGCCCCCUGGGAUGACACUGACGCUCAUGCACGAAAGCGUGGGGAGCAAACAGG
rnacentral:rRNA from 1 species